rnacentral:rRNA from 1 species
UACGUAGGGUGCAAGCGUUGUCCGGAAUUAUUGGGCGUAAAGAGCUCGUAGGCGGUCUGUCGCGUCGGACGUGAAAACCCAGGGCUCAACCCUGGGCCUGCGUUCGAUACGGGCAGACUAGAGUUCGGUAGGGGAGACUGGAAUUCCUGGUGUAGCGGUGAAAUGCGCAGAUAUCAGGAGGAACACCGGUGGCGAAGGCGGUUCUCUGGGCAUGUCCUGACGCUGAGGAGCGAAAGUGUGGGGAGCGAACAGG